rnacentral:rRNA from 1 species
UACGUAGGGUCCGAGCGUUGUCCGGAAUUAUUGGGCGUAAAGGGCUCGUAGGCGGUCUGUCGCGUCGGGAGUGAAAACUUACAGCUUAACUGUGAGCGUGCUUCCGAUACGGGCAGACUUGAGGUAUUCAGGGGAGAACGGAAUUCCUGGUGUAGCGGUGAAAUGCGCAGAUAUCAGGAGGAACACCGGUGGCGAAGGCGGCAUCCUGGACCGACACUGACGCUGAGGCGCGAAAGCGUGGGGAGCGAACAGG